AUGCUCCAUGGAUUUCCCACCUUCUUUUUGCAGAUGACCUGCAUUGUAUUUACCCAAGCAUCUCAAGAGGGAGCUAGUAGUUUACAUAAUAUUCUGGAGCUGUAUCGCCUAGGCUCAGGUCAAGUAGUCAAUAGAGCGAAGUCUGCAAUAUUUUUCAGCAAGAAUUGCACCCACGAAGUGAAGCAAACAGUGCAUGCUGCAUCAGGAAUAGUUACUGAAGCGUUAGUAGAGAAAUAUCUGGGGGUUCCGACUGCUUUAGGAAGAUCCACAUAUUCACAGUUUGAAGGAAUUCCUUCUAAAAUCAAGAAAUUGGUGAAUGGGUGGACACCACAGCUCCUGAACAGUGCAGGGAGAGAAGUGCUUGCUAAAUCAGUAUGUCAAGCUAUCCUGGCAUACUCAAUGAUUUGUUUUAGACUGUCCAAAAAUAUGUGCAAAAAAGUUACUAAUUUGUUAGCUCACUUUUGGUGGGGAGGAGAUGAAAAGUCGAGGAAGAUGCAUUGGCAGAAGUGGGCUGACAUUGCUACACAAAAGUGCGAGGGAGGAAUGGGGUUCUGA
rnacentral:rRNA from 1 species